GACAGAGGUGGCAAGCGUUGUUCGGAUUCAUUGGGUGUAAAGGGUGCGUAGGCGGUUUAGAAAGUCGGUUGUGAAAUCCCAUAGCUCAACUAUGGAACUGCAUCCGAAACUUCUAGACUUGAGUGCGAGAGAGGUGAAGGGAAUUCCCGGUGUAAGGGUGAAAUCUGCAGAGAUCGGGAGGAACACCUGUAGCGAAGGCGCUUCACUGGCUCGCAACUGACGCUGAGUGCACGAAGGCGUGGGGAGCAAACGGG
rnacentral:rRNA from 1 species